rnacentral:rRNA from 1 species
CCUACGGGAGGCAGCAGUGAGGAAUAUUGGUCAAUGGGCGGGAGCCUGAACCAGCCAAGUCGCGUGAGGGACGACGGUCCUAUGGAUUGUAAACCUCUUUUGUCGGGGAACAAAGGCGCCCACGGGUGGGCGUAUGAGUGUACCCGACGAAAAAGCAUCGGCUAACUCCGUGCCAGCAGCCGCGGUAAUACGGAGGAUUCGAUCGUUAACCGGAUUUAUUGGGUUUAAAGGGUGCGUAGGCGGUUCGAUAAGUUAGAGGUGAAAUCCCGGGGCUCAACUCCGGCACUGCCUCUGAUACUGUCGGGCUAGAGUGUAGUUGCGGUAGGCGGAAUGUAUGGUGUAGCGGUGAAAUGCAUAGAGAUCAUACAGAACACCGAUUGCGAAGGCAGCUUACCAAACUACGACUGACGUUGAGGCACGAAAGCGUGGGGAGCAAACAGGAUUAGAUACCCUAGUAGUC